UACGAAGGGGGGCUAGCGUUGCUCGGAAUCACUGGGCGUAAAGCGCACGUAGGCGGAUUGUUAAGUCAGGGGUGAAAUCCUGGAGCUCAACUCCAGAACUGCCUUUGAUACUGGCGAUCUCGAGUCCGGGAGAGGUGAGUGGAACUGCGAGUGUAGAGGUGAAAUUCGUAGAUAUUCGCAAGAACACCAGUGGCGAAGGCGGCUCACUGGCCCGAGUACUGACGCUGAGGUGCGAAAGCGUGGGGAGCAAACAGG
rnacentral:rRNA from 1 species